rnacentral:rRNA from 1 species
UCGGGAAUUUUGGGCAAUGGGCGAAAGCCUGACCCAGCAACGCCGCGUGAAGGAUGAAAUUUUUCGGAAUGUAAACUUCGCAAGAACAGGAAGAAUAAGUAGAAGCUAAUACCUUCUAUGAUGACGGUACUGUUUGUAAGCUCCGGCUAACUCCGUGCCAGCAGCCGCGGUAAUACGGGGGGAGCAAGCGUUGUUCGGAUUUACUGGGCGUAAAGGGCGCGUAGGCGGUCGUGACAAGUCACUUGUGAAAUCUCCGGGCUUAACUCGGAACGGUCAAGUGAUACUGUCGGACUAGAGUACAGAAGGGGCAACUGGAAUUCUCGGUGUAGCGGUGAAAUGCGUAGAUAUCGAGAGGAACACCUGCGGCGAAGGCGGGUUGCUGGGCUGAUACUGACGCUGAGGCGCGAAAGCCAGGGGAGCGAACGG